rnacentral:lncRNA from 1 species
CCAAAAGGCAAAAUAGAUAUUUUGAUCCCUCAAUGUUUCGCUGAGGAUCAAGUUCAUCCCACAACUUUUACAUCAGCCAAUAUAGUCCCUUAACUAUCGUUUUAGGAUCCAACUCAUCCUUAUACUGAUGUGGUACUCCACAAUGGUACGAGACUAUUGAAAAAGUCAUUUUUGUCUUUUGGCUCCAUAUUCCCGUCCUCAAUUUUCCCAUGGUUUCUGGUGUGCGGAUGCUCAUCAAUCUACUCCUUGCUUGCAUUGAGGAGCUGGGGUGGGAUCGACAUGCAGCUGCUGGUGGCUUGCUUCCCGAGAGAAUUGGAGCAGAGCAGCGGCACCUGCUGCCUGCUUUGACGAUUGGGGCUGAGGAGAAGAGAGUUACACAUUUUUGCUUUGUAUCUGUUCUUUGCUUGCUUUCACGGAGAAAGGGGAGGGGGAUCUAUAUUGUUGUGAAGCUCAUAUUGAAGAGAGAAAUGAGCAGGCAGCUCUGCUU